AGUGAACGCUGGCGGCAGGCCUAACACAUGCAAGUCGAACGGCAGCACAGGAGAGCUUGCUCUCUGGGUGGCGAGUGGCGGACGGGUGAGGAAUAUAUCGGAAUCUACCCUUUCGUGGGGGAUAACGUAGGGAAACUUACGCUAAUACCGCAUACGAACUGAGGUUGAAAGCGGCGGACCGCAAGGCGUCGCGCGGAUGGAUGAGCCGAUAUCCGAUUAGCUAGUUGGCGGGGUAAAGGCCCACCAAGGCGACGAUCGGUAGCUGGUCUGAGAGGAUGAUCAGCCACACUGGAACUGAGACACGGUCCAGACUCCUACGGGAGGCAGCAGUGGGGAAUAUUGGACAAUGGGCGCAAGCCUGAUCCAGCCAUGCCGCGUGUGUGAAGAAGGCCUUCGGGUUGUAAAGCACUUUUGUUGGGAAAGAAAAGCGGUCGGUUAAUACCCGGUCGUUCUGACGGUACCCAAAGAAUAAGCACCGGCUAACUUCGUGCCAGCCGCCGCCGUAA
rnacentral:rRNA from 1 species